UAGCUAGCUUUUGUUUUGAGAAACUUUUUCUUUUUGUGCAUGUGAACUCCUGAAACCCUUUAUAUGAAUAUGAAUGUAUGUGCACCAAAAAAAAAAAGUUUCUCAAAACAAAAGCUAGCUAUCUGAUAAAAUGAGAAUCUAAUAAUUAUGAUAGAGAGAAAAUCUCUUGAUUGCUUCCUUGUCUAACUAAGACAAACCACACUUGCAACAAUUUUAUAAAAAUUAAAUGGUGUACAAAUUAAUAACCCAA
rnacentral:misc_RNA from 1 species